rnacentral:rRNA from 1 species
AGUGAACGCUGGCGGUAGGCCUAACACAUGCAAGUCGAACGGCAGCACAGUAAGAGCUUGCUCUUACGGGUGGCGAGUGGCGGACGGGUGAGGAAUACAUCGGAAUCUACUUUUUCGUGGGGGAUAACGUAGGGAAACUUACGCUAAUACCGCAUACGACCUACGGGUGAAAGCAGGGGAUCUUCGGACCUUGCGCGAUUGAAUGAGCCGAUGUCGGAUUAGCUAGUUGGCGGGGUAAAGGCCCACCAAGGCGACGAUCCGUAGCUGGUCUGAGAGGAUGAGCAGCCACACUGGAACUGAGACACGGUCCAGACGCCUACGGGAGGCAGCAGUGGGGAAUAUUGGACAAUGGGAGCAAGCCUGAUCCAGCCAUACCGCGUGGGUGAAGAAGGCCUUCGGGUUGUAAAGCCCUUUUGUUGGGAAAGAAAAGCAGCAGGUUAAUACCCCGCUGUUCUGACGGUACCCAAAGAAUAAGCACCGGCUAACUUCGU